rnacentral:rRNA from 1 species
GAGGGUGCAAGCGUUAAUCGGAAUUACUGGGCGUAAAGCGCACGCAGGCGGUUUGUUAAGUCAGAUGUGAAAUCCCCGGGCUCAACCUGGGAACUGCAUCUGAUACUGGCAAGCUUGAGUCUCGUAGAGGGGGGUAGAAUUCCAGGUGUAGCGGUUAAAUGCGUAGAGAUCUGGAGGAAUACCGGUGGCGAAGGCGGCCCCCUGGACGAAGACUGACGCUCAGGUGCGAAAGCGUGGGGAGCAAA